rnacentral:lncRNA from 1 species
UGAAAACACCCAAAUCAUUUGUAAGUUGAACAAAUCACCGUCAACAAUGGCUUCUGUGCUUACUUCCAGUUACGUACUGUACUGUACUGUACUGUUUUUUUAUUUUUAUUUUUUUUUAUUGUUGAUCUUCGCUCAUCCAGAUUUAUACAGUUUUUUUUUUUUUCAUCUUUCUCUUCUUUUGUAAAUUAAUUUCUCACUUCUCUUCUUCAACCUGAAAGCAUCUUUGUUUGUCUCUGAUUUGUUAGUUUGAUGCAGGUUCCGUUCAUUCAAUUUUAUGUUCAGAUCCAAUUUCAAUCAAACCUACUUCUAUGGAUACGAUUUCUCCAUGCUUAGGUUCAGGUUCGCUAAUCAUUCAUUCAUUCUCUUUUUGUGAUUUUAAUCUCUCUUCUGGUUUUGAGUUUGUUUCAGUGAAUUUUCUGGAACCUUUCAAUUUCUAACGACACAUAGUUAUAAAUGAAAUCCAAUGCUAAACUAGUUAAGGGUUGAAUUGAAGCAUUAUUGUGAAAAACAAUGUGUUUUAAGAUAUAGGCUAUAAACAACUUAAUUUACAGCUUAUAGCUUGAGUGCUUAUCUUGAUGAGCGCUUGUGUAUAAGCUAUUCGUAUAAACUAUAAGCUGUUGUCAUAAGCUAUAUUGCUGAGUUUAUAUAAAAUAAGCUUAAAACAACUUAUGAAUAUGUCAUAAGCUGAUUUCAUAAGUUCUCUCAAACUGUUUCACAAGUGCUUAUGUCAAUGUGUUUUGUCCUUUCUUGAUACACUUAUGAUUAUUCAAAUGGAUUGCAUUUUGGCUUUGACAAUAUAUCUUAACACAUUAUUGAGUAAUUCCUAGUUCCCCAAUCAUUCCUGUCAACCAUAUGGCUUCUUUGACCUCUUCAACUAGAGCAAUAUAUUUUAGUUAAAAAAAAAACAAAAAAAAACUAGAGCAAUAUAUUUCUCUUGAGUAGUAGACAAGACAAUAACAAAUUGUUGAUUUUCCUUUCCGAAAAAGUGUAAAUACAAAAUCCGAUAGGGAUUUUCUAGUGUCCACAUUUUUGGCAUAGUCCACAUCCACAUAUCCACCAAAGCGUAAUAGUGUACUUCAAACCACCUCUAAAUGAUCCAUUCAAAUAUCGCAAAAUCCACUUCAAACUUUGCCAAUGCACUUGGUUGUUCCAUGAAGGUUGAUUCACAACUCAAUAUUAUGUUGAUUCAUAAUAACCAUAAGUACGCUUAUAGAACAAUGUUUCACCACCGGUGAGAAAAGUUCAUUGUAAUCAAUGCAUAUCCCAAACCUUGUUAAUUUAGACUCUGCAUUGUUUACUUAUUUCAGAAAAAUAAGUUUAGGUCAUACUAAUUGUUAACUUAUUGUGGUUAUUAAUCAGUUGAUUGUAUCAGAUGGAUAGGAAUUGUAUAAUAUUCUUUUUGUUUUGUCUAUAAGAAAGACACAAGCUGGUGUUUGUUCCCUAUCUAACUGUAGCAUGUAAUUGGUGAAGGAUUGAUUAUAGUAAUAAUAAAUUUGAAAGCAACUCUAUUGUCUUAUUUGUUUGAAACUGUGCCUACUAGUUGGUGCUAACUGCAACUCUUUAUUCUAAAGGUCGAUAAAGGUUUAUUCAAGGAAGACAAAUGACACAAAAUCUAGUGCUACACCAUUGGCUGGAGCUGUAUGUCGCUUCACAGCCAUUAUUUCUUUAGUUAAAUUUACUUUGAAAUUGUGUCACACUUUUUAGUUUUAUAGUUGAAUAGCAGAAUGAUUUUGAAGUUGUUUUAUUCUUUUUGUAGAUAUGGUAUAUAAUGAGAAGAAAAUAGGCGAUGGAAGGAAAUGGCAGCUGAAAUGAUGAGCCAGUUAUGGAGAAAAGUGGCAGAGUUAAUGAGAAGAAAUCAUGACGAAUCAAACUUGUAGCCAUUUUUAUGGUUCAUGCUAGGUACGAAAGAAAUAAUUAGAUUUUUUCUUCACUUCCAUUUUUAUGGUUCUUAAAGAGAAAAUAUGUUAUGUUAAUGUUACAUGCUGUUUCUUCUAGUUGUAUUAAGGUAUACGAUGUUUAUCACAAAAUCCAUCUAUGUCUGGGACAAUGGGCAUGCUUGAAGAGAGUUUGAAACAUAGUUUACAUGAUAUAGAGAUUAGUGACCAUGCCUUUAGAAUUAGGUUUAAAGAUCUAUUUUAUCUAUCUUCUGUGACACUGAUUUUCUUUGUCUCAUUUAUAUAUGAACAAGACAAGUGAAAAAUCGCAGAUAUGCUCCGAUUAGGAAGCAUAUCAAAUCUAGACAGGAUCACUUGAUAAUGGUAAAAGUGUGUUGCGUUUUACUCUAAAAUUUAAAACUAAAACAAUAAGAGCCAACUACCGCUUGUCUGCUAUGUUUAUGUUCGUAAACAAAUUGAAUCUAGAGAUGCUGAUGAAUGAUAAUCAAUCAAAUUCAGACUUGCUAUUUUAGAGCAAGGUGACCUGCUUGAUUUAAUAAGUCUGUUUGUUGAACUCUCUUUGUUUCUCAAGCAGAGAAUCUUUAUAUGAUAAACUCGAUUUGUUUCUCAAACUAAAGUAAAUGUUAUUUGGUCAUUUCAUGUGAAGUGAUUCUCUUCAUACUUAGUUGGUGAACAUUGUCACCUUUUCUUUUGAAUUUCAUAAAUCAUUAUGAACAACUAUUCUGUAUACGUUCGGGAUGGCUCAUGCCGUAUCACCUCAAUGCAUAUGAUUGUGCUCUUUCUAUCAUAUAAUAAUGACCAUUUGACCUAAAUACAUGUCUCAGAUGCUCACUGUAGGAAAUUUCAAGGAAAUAUACAUGCUCUAACUCUUGCUCAAUGUAAAGAUUUGAAGGCACCCUGGCUUGGAUUUGGUGAGUCAUAGUUUAAAAAUUGUUUGAUGUUAAAACCUGAAACUGAAGCAUUCAGUUCACAUUUAAUUCACUGCAACAAUUACUUCUUUGAGUAGUAAUUGCAACUGUUAUUUAAUUUUAGGAGCUCUUUGUAUUUUUUUUUUAUGAUGCAGGUUAAAAAGGAAUUAUCCAGGAAAAAAAUCAGCAGCACCCAAGGGGAUCUAGUGAUUGAAAAACAGAGUAUUAUUAGAAGAGGUUAGACAUGCUUUAAUAAUACACUUGUUUUGUUUUUGGUAUUGUUGAUCUUACAUAUAGCAUAUUGCUUUAUUUUCAUUUUUCACUCUCCUUAAAUUAUUUAAUAUGUAAAUGAAUUUAAGUAUAAAUUAUCAGAACUAGUUUUUUAUUAGAACUUAGUAGUAAUUACCUCUAUAAGGAAGAGUAAUGUCAUGCCAACUUAUGAUAAUUGAAUAGUAGUAUAACAAUAUGAAAUGUUGCCCCUGUUUAUAAACUUAUAUUCAAGCCCUAUCUCAUUGAAUGUGAGACUCUUAACACAGCUGACUCACAUCUACGACUGGCAUUUGAAGCAUAACCUGAGUGGUUCGAUAACAGUGACUUAAUAGCAGGUGUCCUAACAGAUCUUUGAUAGACUAUAUAAUCUUAGAAUUUGGGGUAGACUUAAUUCACAAAAUUGGCUUUGUAAGGUUAUGUUCAAUCUUAUCUCAUCCAAUGUUGGACUCUUAACAUCAUUCUCAAUACUUUUCAAAC